rnacentral:rRNA from 1 species
AACGAACGCUGGCGGCAGGCCUAACACAUGCAAGUCGAGCGCCCCGCCAGGGGGGCGGCGGACGGGUGGGUAACGCGUGGGAACGUACCCUUUGCUACGGAAUAGCCUCGUGAAACUGGGAUUAAUACCGUAUGUGUCCUUCGGGAGAAAGGUUUAUCGGCAAAGGUUCGGCCCGCUUUGGAUUAGAUAGUUGGCUGGGUAAUGGCCUACCAAGCCGACAACCCAAAGUUGUUGUGAGAGUAUGGUCAUCCACACCGGGAGUGGGACACGGCACAGAAUCCUACGGGAGGGGGGAAUGGGGGAUGGUAGACAGUGGGGGCAGUCAUGAUGUAGCCAUGCCGGGAGAGCGAUGAAGGUCUUAGGGUAGUAAAGCUCUUUCAGCUGGGAAGAUAAUGACGGUACCCACAGAAGAAGCCCCGGCUAACUCCGUG